rnacentral:rRNA from 2 species
UUUGGAGAGUUUGAUCCUGGCUCAGGACGAACGCUGGCGGCGUGCCUAAUACAUGCAAGUCGAGCGGAGCUUAUCCUUCGGGAUAAGCUUAGCGGCGGACGGGUGAGUAACACGUAGGCAACCUACCCUCUAGACUGGGAUAACUACCGGAAACGGUAGCUAAUACCGGAUAAUUCCUUCACCCUCAUGGGCGAGGGAUGAAAGGCGGAGCAAUCUGCCACUAGAGGAUGGGCCUGCGGCGCAUUAGCUAGUUGGUGGGGUAACGGCCUACCAAGGCGACGAUGCGUAGCCGACCUGAGAGGGUGAACGGCCACACUGGGACUGAGACACGGCCCAGACUCCUACGGGAGGCAGCAGUAGGGAAUCUUCCGCAAUGGGCGAAAGCCUGACGGAGCAACGCCGCGUGAGUGAUGAAGGUUUUCGGAUCGUAAAGCUCUGUUGCCAGGGAAGAACGUCCGGUAGAGUAACUGCUACCGGAGUGACGGUACCUGAGAAGAAAGCCCCGGCUAACUACGUGCCAGCAGCCGCGGUAAUACGUAGGGGGCAAGCGUUGUCCGGAAUUA